UACAGAGGGGGCAAGCGUUGUUCGGAAUUACUGGGCGUAAAGGGCGCGUAGGCGGCCUGCUAAGUCGAACGUGAAAUCCCCGGGCUCAACCCGGGAACUGCGUCCGAUACUGGCAGGCUUGAAUUCGGGAGAGGGUUGUGGAAUUCCGGGUGUAGUGGUGAAAUGCGUAGAGAUCCGGAGGAACACCAGAGGCGAAGGCGGCAACCUGGCUCGUAACUGACGCUCAUACACGACAGCAUGGGGAGCGAACGGG
rnacentral:rRNA from 1 species